GUGUGGCCGUAGGUAGAGAGCACACACAUUUCAGAGGGCAGAGCUCCCGGUGUCCCUGUGCGAGAUCAGGUGUGCUCUGUGGGCUGUCCUUGGCCGUGGAAAUGGGCCGUAUAAAUUAUACACAGAAAUAAUAUGCAUUCUGCUGCAAGCUGCCAGAAGGUCUCGCGAUGGUAGAGAUGAUGGAUUGCCUUGCUGGGGAAUGGCAGGCUCUUCCGGGGGACGAGAGAGAAAGAGAGAGAGAGAGAGAACUCGAGGAGGGGGCGGAGGUUGAAGCCAGGCGUCCAACUUCUGCAUUUCCUGUCAGCAGGGACGUGUGCUUUUCUCUCUGGCCAAAGCUUGCUGCCCUUCGGCAAAGGACCUACAUUCUCAGAGUUGCAGAUUGUGGGCAAGAAAGAAGGUUGAACAGGGUCCAGUCCGUGAGUGAUGAUUUCGGGCCCGGUGAACCUGAAGAUGUCGGGCAGGAGGUCAGAGAGGCUGAGUGCCCAGCCCAGGCACUGCGCGGCUGGGGAAACAGAGGCCUCUUGACAGAGACACCUGCCCGAGGCCUCCCGCCUUCUUGAGGGCAGCCCUGGGGCCAGCGCGCUGGCUUCCCAACCGUGGCCUCAGGUUUCUCCUCUCACUUCAUCUCUUUGCCUGUCCAUGGACGAAGCUCUCGUCUGACUUUUCUUAAGCAGGAGAAAGGGCUCCGGAUUCAAGACGGGUGGCAGUGGGGAGCAGCCUGCAGGGUCUUGGAGAGAAGUGCUCAGUCACGGGGUGCACCCAGAAAAAGGCAAAAUCUCUUGGCAUCAGGGAAAGACACCAGUUCGACAGGUUGUCACCCCCUUGGAUCUCUCUUCUUGGGCCACUGUUCAGCGGACAUUUCCGUGUGCUUCCCAUUACAGUAUGUCAUUUAUUCGCCUGCCCCUCAGUAAACGCCGUCUGUCCGAGGAGUAGAUGAGCUGUGUGCUCAGGCCAUUCCUCCCUUCAAGUCCUCUCUUUCUUCACUGAGGAACCACACAUGACAUCCCCCCUCCGCCAGCCAGUCCUGUGUGCCGAGCUGACCACCCAGAGGUCAAGGCCAUGGUCUCUGCCCCCAGGGACCAUCGUUGCAAUGCUCCCGUGUGAGUAACAUGCGUGUGACCCCGUUCUAGAAUGAUGCUACUCAGAGCACCUGUCUGCUUCCACAAAGGGAGCUUGCACCAGAGUGUAAACCAACACACCCAUCACUCCACCGAGAAAGUCUUACUAUGAGAAAGAAAAGUCCGCGACAGCCCUAAGGCCUGUGCUUAGCAAAACAGCUGAUUUGUCUUCUAGCACCAGGUUCUGUCUCCUCACUGACAGGAGGACUGGAAUUCCUAAUUGUGGGCUGCUGAUCUGUGGACCGCACGCCGGGAGCCCUGUUCGAGAGCACUUUCUGUGCAUCGGGCACACCGCUAAACACUAUACAGAAGACAUCCAUCACUCCAAUGAACUCCCUCCUCCUAUCCCUUUGUGGUCACCUUCCUGCCCCAUCCAGAACCCCUGACUACCCCUGGAAGGCAGACGUAAGUGGGGCGCCAACUCGGAUGGUGCGGAGAAGGGCACCAUCCUAGGGAAAGAAGGAGCGUGGGCACCCGAGACUGCACAGAGCAGAACUCAGUGAGAAUCAGCUCCUGUGAUCAUGUCCCUUAAGGGCAGGACCUCGAAACUCUGCUCACAUCCAACUGCGCAGGAUCGGGGAAACAGGACCUUUGUUCUGGAUGGCCAUUGUCUCCAACCUCUCCCUACAAAAUAGGAGGGGUGACAGUUACAGUCUCUGCCACAACAGUGAAAUUCAAGGACUGUCUCGUUUAUUUCUUCUUGAAACAAAUCAAGUGUGCCGCUCCCUCCAGCACACCCUGGCUCUGCUGUCCACAGCAACGUGGGGAGCGACCCCCAGUGUUUUCCGUUGUUCCCUCGCUGCUCAGUGCAGCUGACAAGGGUGGCUCUUCAUUCUCUGGGGGACACUGUGGCUCUGAGGAGGGGACAGAAGAUACUCCCUCCUGAAGGCCCGGCCGUGGGACUCUGCCCCUGCCGUGAAGGCCAUGGCC